rnacentral:rRNA from 1 species
GAUGAACGCUGGCGGCGUGCCUAAUACAUGCAAGUCGAGCGAACAGACGAGGAGCUUGCUCCUCUGACGUUAGCUGCGGACGGGUGAGUAACACGUGGAUAACCUACCUAUAAGACUGGGAUAACUUCGGGAAACCGGAGCUAAUACCGGAUAAUAUAUUGAACCGCAUGGUUCAAUAGUGAAAGACGGUUUUGCUGUCACUUAUAGAUGGAUCCGCGCCGCAUUAGCUAGUUGGUAAGGUAACGGCUUACCAAGGCAACGAUGCGUAGCCGACCUGAGAGAGUGAUCGGCCACACUGGAACUGAGACACGGUCCAGACUCCUACGGGAGGCAGCAGUAGGGAAUCUUCCGCAAUGGGCGAAAGCCUGACGGAGCAACGCCGCGUGAGUGAUGAAGGUCUUCGGAUCGUAAAACUCUGUUAUUAGGGAAGAACAAAUGUGUAAGUAACUAUGCACGUCUUGACGGUACCUAAUCAGAAAGCCAAGGCUAACUACGUG